rnacentral:rRNA from 1 species
UACGAGUUUGAUCCUGGCUCAGGAUGAACGCUAGCGGCAGGCUUAAUACAUGCAAGUCAAGGGGUAGCAAUACAACCGGCGCACGGGUGAGUAACGCGUACACAACAUACCAUAUACUGGAGUAUAGCUUUGGGAAACUGAAGGUAAUCCUCCAUAACAUUGCGAGAGGGCAUCUGAUUGCAAUUAAAGUUCCGGCGGUAUAUGAUUGGUGUGCGUUUGAUUGGCUAGUUGGUAGGGUAACGGCCUACCAAGGCGACGAUCAAUAGCUGGCGUGAGAGCGCGACCAGCCACACUGGAACUGAGACACGGUCCAGACUCCUACGGGAGGCAGCAGUAGGGAAUAUUGGACAAUGGGCGAAAGCCUGAUCCAGCCAUGCCGCGUGAUAGAUGAAGGCCCUCUGGGUUGUAAAUAUCUUUUAUCUGGGAAGAAACUCCUCUAUUCUUAGAGGCCUGACGGUACCAGAGGAAUAAGCACCGGCUAACUCCGUG